UACGGAGGGGGCUAGCGUUGUUCGGAAUUACUGGGCGUAAAGCGCACGUAGGCGGCUUUGUAAGUUAGAGGUGAAAGCCCGGAGCUCAACUCCGGAAUUGCCUUUAAGACUGCAUCGCUCGAAUCAUGGAGAGGUGAGUGGAAUUCCGAGUGUAGAGGUGAAAUUCGUAGAUAUUCGGAAGAACACCAGUGGCGAAGGCGAACUCACUGGACAUGUAUUGACGCUGAGGUGCGAAAGCGUGGGGAGCAAACAGG
rnacentral:rRNA from 1 species